rnacentral:rRNA from 1 species
GACGAACGCUGGCGGCGUGCCUAAUACAUGCAAGUCGAACGCAGUUGGGACGGUUGAGUAACACGUGGGUAACCUCCCAUCAGAGGGGAUAACACUUGGAAACAGGUGCUAAACCGAUACUGAUGGAUGGACCCGCGGUGCAUUAGCUAGUUGGUGAGGUAACGGCUCACCAAGGCCACGAUGCAGAGACGACCUGAGCGGGGUAUCGGCCACACUGGGACUGAGACACGGCCCAGACUCCUACGUGAGGCAGCAGUAGGGAAUCUUCCGCAAUGGACGAAAGUCUGACCGAGCAACGCCGCGUGAGUGAAGAAGGUUUUCGGAUCGUAAAACUCUGUUGGUAGAGAAGCGAUAUCUAACCAGAAAGCAACGGCUAACUACGUGCCAGCAGCCGCGGUAAUUC